rnacentral:rRNA from 1 species
UGGGGAAUAUUGGACAAUGGGCGAAAGCCUGAUCCAGCCAUGCCGCGUGUGUGAAGAAGGCCUUUUGGUUGUAAAGCACUUUAAGCGAGGAGGAGGCUACUUAGAUUAAUACUCUAGGAUAGUGGACGUUACUCGCAGAAUAAGCACCGGCUAACUCUGUGCCAGCAGCCGCGGUAAUACAGAGGGUGCGAGCGUUAAUCGGAUUUACUGGGCGUAAAGCGUGCGUAGGCGGCUUUUUAAGUCGGAUGUGAAAUCCCUGAGCUUAACUUAGGAAUUGCAUUCGAUACUGGGAAGCUAGAGUAUGGGAGAGGAUGGUAGAAUUCCAGGUGUAGCGGUGAAAUGCGUAGAGAUCUGGAGGAAUACCGAUGGCGAAGGCAGCCAUCUGGCCUAAUACUGACGCUGAGGUACGAAAGCGUGGGGAGCAAACAGGAUUAGAUACCCUGGUAGUCCACGCCGUAAACGAUGUCAACUAGCCGUUGGAAGCCUUGAGCUUUUAGUGGCGCAGCUAACGCAUUAAGUUGACCACCUGGGG